rnacentral:rRNA from 1 species
UAAACACAUGCAAAGUCGAGCGCGCCUUCGGGGUGAGCGGCGGACGGGUGAGUAAACGCGUGGGAAUAUGCCCUUUCGGUGCGGAAUAGUCUUGGGAAACUGAGGGUAAUACCGCAUACGCCCUUCGGGGGAAAGAUUUAUCGCCGAAAGAUUAGCCCGCGUUGGAUUAGGUAGUUGGUGGGGUAAUGGCCUACCAAGCCGACGAUCCAUAGCUGGUUUGAGAGGAUGAUCAGCCACACUGGGACUGAGACACGGCCCAGACUCCUACGGGAGGCAGCAGUGGGGAAUCUUAGACAAUGGGGGCAACCCUGAUCUAGCCAUGCCGCGUGAGUGAUGAAGGCCUUAGGGUUGUAAAGCUCUUUCAGCUGGGAAGAUAAUGACGGUACCAGCAGAAGAAGCCCCGGCUAACUCCGUGC